AGAGUCUUCACAGAUGAAAUCCAUGUUCACAUCCUUCCUCUGAUGGGCUACUUCGCUGGCCUUGAAGGCUCUGCCAAGCAGAAUAACUACUGGAAUGUUCAAGACUGGAAUAAUGACAUUGGUGGGAAACAUAAAACUCCAUAUAGGGCUGUGGAAGGACUAGAGUGGAGAAAACUACAGCUGGACUGAAGCAGUUAUGUGAAAUACAGAAUACAGACCUGGAGACUUCGCUGGUGUCAUCUGGGCUAUUUUGGAAGGAGUCGUAAGAUUUAGUUCCGACAUGGAUGGAUGAGUCCAGAGAUUAUUCACAGAUCCUGUUUAAAACAGGAUUAAAAUAGGAUUAAAGUGUACUUUUUUUUUUUUUUUUUUUUUUUUUUUUUUCUGUAACAUAACACAAAGUGUGAAGCCAGUCUUCAUUUUCAAAGCAACCAAACCAAAAAUCCUACUUGAUUUCCCUCUUGGUUAUGCAGAUGCAAUGCUGAGGUGUUCUUGCAUUUAAUCUUACCUCACUUUGUUCGGAGUGGUUUUUGUUUAGAACUAUUCGUAACAGUACAGGGUGCUUCAGAAAGAUGGACCCAACUUGAAAUCAUUGUAUCCCUGCAACCACAAACUGACUAUGAAUGAAACUUCUACCACUUGCAAGAGCACAGGGCACAGAGUUUCAAAUGAUUACCACUACAUGUUAGAUUACUGCUAGAUGUAAAUUUUUGUGUAAUUGUAACACAAAGCUAUCGUGAAAUACACUGAUUUGAAAUCGGGUCCAUCCUUUUAAAAUGCCCUGUAUAAUAAUUGUAAUUUCUUAUGAAUUGCUUUUAAUGCUUUUGGUUUACUUAGAACUAGCUCUUUCUGCAGGUACUCCUUUUAAUAUGGAUUCAGCUUUUAAUGUUUUAUAAUGGUUUAUUCAACAUAUCUUGACAUAGGUGUGAGCAAGUUUUUAUAAUGUCUUGUUUGAAUAUAUAUAUUCAAAGUUACCUGAAGCCUCUCACCUUACAAAUAAAAUAGACAAAUUAAGUUAGAGGGCAGUCAUCUAGGUAAGGCAAGCUCAAAUCUGAAUACAACAGAAAAAUCUCCAAACCCCUUCUGAAAGCUCCAGCUACAACCUAAUAAAAUUUUUGUUAAACUAUAAGAAUAUUUACAUGAUUUUUUAAUUCAUUAACACAAUACUUAUUCAAUUAAAUACACAUCUAUAUGGCUGUUUAAUAAAUGAAAUGGUGUGUGAAGUAUGUAAAUGAGACAUUUUUUUUACCAUGAUCUUUACUUAAACCUUCCUCUCCAAAGAUAACUACUAAAAUAGGUCACAGUAUAUAAAUAGCAUAGUAAGCAAUCUAAGGACUAGAUUCUGUUUGCAAACUGGGUGGUAUAAAUCCACCCUAACUCCAUUGAUUUCAGUGGUUUAACUUAGACUUAACUGUGUUAUUAUUGAUGAAUGUGCAUAUACUGCAGAUGAGAUACUAAUUCCCUUAAAGUCUUAACACCAAGGAGCAGGAUGUGGCUGUCAAAAAAAUAAGAAAAUGGAAGGAAAUGCCUACCUUCUUUCAUUCUGUCUGCAAAGUUCUACUCAAAUCCUGUACUGUGGGAGUGUCUGACCUUUCAAGCAGAUGGAUGCCAUAUCUCAUAAGGAGGUACCCAGGAGCCAUAAAUCUUCACCCUUCCUCUGCCCAAUAAUAAAAAGUAUGACCAUCAUGGAGCUGCAGCAGCCCCCUAUCCCAUGA